GUGUCAGCCGCCGCGGUAAUACGAAGGGUGCAAACGUUGCUCGGAAUCAUUGGGCGUAAAGCGCACGUAGGCGGCAUUCUAAGUCGGAUGUGAAAUCCCUCGGCUCAACCGAGGACGUGCAUCCGAAACUGGAACGCUCGAGUAUGGAAGAGGGUCGCGGAAUUCUCGGUGUAGAGGUGAAAUUCGUAGAUAUCGGGAGGAACACCAGUGGCGAAGGCGGCGACCUGGGCCAAUACUGACGCUGAGGUGCGAAAGCGUGGGGAGCAAACAGGAUUAGAAACCCUCGUAGUCC
rnacentral:rRNA from 1 species